rnacentral:lncRNA from 1 species
AAAUUAGACGUUCAUGGCGCCAUGUUUGAGAAAAGAGUUCUGAUGAAGAAAAGAGUUUUGAUGAAGUUUGAAGAAGAGUUUGGACAAAGUUUUAAGUCUUUUGAUGAAGAGUUUAUAUAGAUGUCGAAAUUAUAUCCGUUGAUGGUAGUCGUUGUGGAUAUAGCCGUUCGUUCCACGCUGGUUAAACUGGCGUGGAACAAAUAAAUUUGUUGGAAAUAGUUCCACGCUGG